AUGAUGAAUAAAGCAGACAUAAUUCAUCUCUAGAAAGACUACUUAUACCCUGACAUUUGAAAUGCUUUUUAUUUAGAAUAGUAGUAAAAAUGGAAAAAGAAAAAGAUGAUGAAAAACGAAACCAAGAGAACUCCUUGGACUUUUCUGAACACUUUAACCAACUUGAAUUAUUGGAAACACACAGACAUCUUAUUCCCACUGGUUCUCAGAGUCUCUGGGUAGGCAAUUCUGAUGAAGAUGAGGAACAAGAUGAAAAAAAUGAAGAGUGGUAUCAAUUCCAAGAAAAUAAAAUGGAAAAAGACCCAAGCAAGUUGCUUCUGUGGGCUGCUGAAAAGAAUCGGCUUAUUACAGUGCUGAGACUCCUUUCGGAAAAGGCCACUCAUGUGAACACCAGGGAUGAGGAAGCCUAUACCCCUCUUCACCGAGCAGCCUACAGUGGACACUUGGACACUGUCCAUGAGCUGGCUGCACAAGGGGCAGAUGUCCAUGCAGUGACCUUGGAUGGCUGGACAUUGCUUGUGAGUGGAAUCAUGCCAGAGUGGCUUCUUUCUUACUUCAGCACGAUUUGGGUAUCAAUGCCCCAACGAAGGGCCUCCUGAACCCCCUGCACCUUGCUGCCAGGAGCAGGGACAGAAAGGACACCCUAGAACUCCUCCUCCUGAUGAACCGUUACGUCCAACCAGGUCUGAAAAACAGCUUGCAAGAAACUGCGUCAGACAUCACCAGGAGGACAAGUAUCUACCACUACUUUGAAACUGCGGAAGGCUGCACAAAUUCUUCUCCUCAGUCUUGA